GAUGACCAAAAAACUAGAACUUUUCCAAUGGUUAUCUCUGUUUUCCCUUAAUUGUUAAAGAGAUAGGUGGAGUAAUAACUAUCUUCUUUACAGGAUAUCCUCGUUUUGCUUUCUAAAUCCUCAUCGUUAUCACUAUCACCACCUGGAUCUCUUGCAGCUAGGUUGGACUCCGUAGCAUCUUUCGAAGCUUUUCUUUUCCCAAACUGCAAGUGGGCAUACAAUUUCCUUUCCACGGGGUCAUUUGAAGGUCUGGUUCUCAUUUGACAUGAAAAGUCACCAAGACCGAGUCUAUAGAAAGAUUUGAAUUCGAUUUAACAAUACUACAUCUAGGAAAAUAUUACAUGGGAAGAUUAAGAAGAUAGCCUUUACUGACCUAGAUGGUCUUGGAUUCUGCCUCUGUUUGCUUGUCCUUAUCAACUUCAAUCAUAUUAUUGACAUAUCGUUCAGCUUAACAAUAAGCAUGUUUCCAUCAAUGGAAGAAGCUUGACAUCUAUCACGCCCUCAACUGUACAUGUAUAGAGGCAAUGACAUGCUUGUCCUUCCACCCGAAGACGUAACCUCAAGCAUAACCAUCAUCAAC
rnacentral:lncRNA from 1 species